UGACUACAUGUUCCCGCUCCAAUUUUAUUCAACGCAUACGUGCAAUUCGAACAAUCAUCGUUAACAAAUGUAUCACAGGCAAUGGUUGCCAUGUGAAAGAAAGCAAAGCCAGCUAGGAACUUCUGGCCAGGGAACUUACGAGCAACUUGGUUAUAUCUAUUCAAAGCAAAAGACUUUAGAGAUGCUACAAAGAGUUUACAAUGAGGAUGUCGAGGAUGAUAUUCUGACCAAGAUACUGCGGAAUGCUGAUGAGGAUUAUGAGUACAAAGUGGAUCUUGACUCAGACGAUGAAAAUCUGCGACUUCUUUAGGAAAACGUCUGAAAAACAUCAACUUGGAUAAUGCUGAUGAAUUGCGGUCUGCACUAACACCAUCAGAGAGACAAGACUUUGAAGCAAUGAUCAGUAGUGGAGAGGCUUUAAAGUUACUUCCUCAGUGGAAUCCUUGGUGGAGGUACACUACUAAAGAAAAGCUGUUUCAAGAUUUAACCAACAACGAUCAGGACCAAACCUUUUCAGGUAAAUUGAAUACUAUUUAAAUGAGAUUUCAUGAAAUAUUUUCUUUAGUGCCUCUUUAUAGGUGAUGUUCAUUUUAACAUUUAUCAGUCCUUCAGUUUCAUUAGAGAACCACAUUAUGCAUUUCGAAAAAUUAUUGCUGUCUACAUUUUCUAUGUUUAGACGGACAAUACGAAACGCUACCGGCACGUAGCGACGAAAAUCGUUUUUCAUGAUAUACUUAAUGUUGAAUUUCAUGUUUUCAUUCAAUACUUUAUCCUGAAUCUCAUCAAUUGGAGGAAGCGGGUGUACAGCAUUGGGAACAAUGGAGGACAACAAUGCUAUCACUAACAACUAUAGCAUUAACAAAUGGUCUUUAUGGCAAACAUAUUUGUUUCGCAGUGUCUGGCCAACAAAGAAGAAUUUUAUCAACGUAUCUCUGAAGAAAUUGAAAAUAUCGCUGGAAAAACGUUCGUCUCAGGUCAUUGACACCAAGGACCUGCUUGACGAAUGGCAUGCUGCUUGCGUAACCAGUAGACACCUGUGGAAAGACGCCAAAGAUGAA